rnacentral:rRNA from 1 species
GGGUUGUGAGGUUAAGCGACUAAGCGUACACGGUGGAUGCCCUGGCAGUCAGAGGCGAUGAAGGACGUGCUAAUCUGCGAAAAGCGUCGGUAAGGUGAUAUGAACCGUUAUAACCGGCGAUGUCCGAAUGGGGAAACCCAGUGCAAUUCGUUGCACUAUCGUUAACUGAAUACAUAGGUUAACGAGGCGAACCGGGGGAACUGAAACAUCUAAGUACCCCGAGGAAAAGAAAUCAACCGAGAUUCCCCCAGUAGCGGCGAGCGAACGGGGAGCAGCCCAGAGUCUGAAUCAGCUUGUGUGUUAGUGGAACGGUCUGGAAAGUCCGACGGUACAGGGUGAUAGUCCCGUACACCAAAAUGCACAGGCUGUGAACUCGAAGAGUAGGGCGGGACACGUGGUAUCCUGUCUGAAUAUGGGGGGACCAUCCUCCAAGGCUAAAUACUCCUGACUGACCGAUAGUGAACCAGUACCGUGAGGGAAAGGCGAAAAGAACCCCGGCGAGGGGAGUGAAAAAGAACCUGAAACCGUGUACGUACAAGCAGUGGGAGCACCUUCGGGUGUGACUGCGUACCUUUUGUAUAAUGGGUCAGCGACUUAUAUUCUGUAGCAAGGUUAACCGUAUAGGGGAGCCGCAGGGAAACCGAGUCUUAACUGGGCGUUAAGUUGCAGGGUAUAGACCCGAAACCCGGUGAUCUAGCCAUGGGCAGGUUGAAGGUUGGGUAACACUAACUGGAGGACCGAACCGACUAAUGUUGAAAAAUUAGCGGAUGACUUGUGGCUGGGGGUGAAAGGCCAAUCAAACCGGGAGAUAGCUGGUUCUCCCCGAAAGCUAUUUAGGUAGCGCCUCGUGAACUCAUCUUCGGGGGUAGAGCACUGUUUCGGCUAGGGGGUCAUCCCGACUUACCAACCCGAUGCAAACUACGAAUACCGAAGAAUGUUAUCACGGGAGACACACGGCGGGUGCUAACGUCCGUCGUGAAGAGGGAAACAACCCAGACCGCCAGCUAAGGUCCCAAAGUCAUGGUUAAGUGGGAAACGAUGUGGGAAGGCACAGACAGCCAGGAUGUUGGCUUAGAAGCAGCCAUCAUUUAAAGAAAGCGUAAUAGCUCACUGGUCGAGUCGGCCUGCGCGGAAGAUGUAACGGGGCUAAACCAUGCACCGAAGCUGCGGCAGCGACACUAUGUGUUGUUGGGUAGGGGAGCGUUCUGUAAGCCUGCGAAGGUGUGCUGUGAGGCAUGCUGGAGGUAUCAGAAGUGCGAAUGCUGACAUAAGUAACGAUAAAGCGGGUGAAAAGCCCGCUCGCCGGAAGACCAAGGGUUCCUGUCCAACGUUAAUCGGGGCAGGGUGAGUCGACCCCUAAGGCGAGGCCGAAAGGCGUAGUCGAUGGGAAACAGGUUAAUAUUCCUGUACUUGGUGUUACUGCGAAGGGGGGACGGAGAAGGCUAUGUUAGCCGGGCGACGGUUGUCCCGGUUUAAGCAUGUAGGCUGAUUGUCCAGGCAAAUCCGGAUAAUCAAGGCUGAGGUGUGAUGACGAGGCACUACGGUGCUGAAGUAACAAAUGCCCUGCUUCCAGGAAAAGCCUCUAAGCAUCAGGUAACAUCAAAUCGUACCCCAAACCGACACAGGUGGUCAGGUAGAGAAUACCAAGGCGCUUGAGAGAACUCGGGUGAAGGAACUAGGCAAAAUGGUGCCGUAACUUCGGGAGAAGGCACGCUGGUGUGUAGGUGAAGUCCCUGCGGAUGGAGCUGAGACCAGUCGAAGAUACCAGCUGGCUGCAACUGUUUAUUAAAAACACAGCACUGUGCAAACACGAAAGUGGACGUAUACGGUGUGACGCCUGCCCGGUGCCGGAAGGUUAAUUGAUGGGGUUAUCCGUAAGGAGAAGCUCUUGAUCGAAGCCCCGGUAAACGGCGGCCGUAACUAUAACGGUCCUAAGGUAGCGAAAUUCCUUGUCGGGUAAGUUCCGACCUGCACGAAUGGCGUAAUGAUGGCCAGGCUGUCUCCACCCGAGACUCAGUGAAAUUGAACUCGCUGUGAAGAUGCAGUGUACCCGCGGCAAGACGGAAAGACCCCGUGAACCUUUACUAUAGCUUGACACUGAACAUUGAGCCUUGAUGUGUAGGAUAGGUGGGAGGCUUUGAAGCGUGGACGCCAGUCUGCGUGGAGCCAACCUUGAAAUACCACCCUUUAAUGUUUGAUGUUCUAACGUUGGCCCCUGACCGGGGUUGCGGACAGUGUCUGGUGGGUAGUUUGACUGGGGCGGUCUCCUCCCAAAGCGUAACGGAGGAGCACGAAGGUUAGCUAAUCCUGGUCGGACAUCAGGAGGUUAGUGCAAUGGCAUAAGCUAGCUUGACUGCGAGCGUGACGGCGCGAGCAGGUGCGAAAGCAGGUCAUAGUGAUCCGGUGGUUCUGAAUGGAAGGGCCAUCGCUCAACGGAUAAAAGGUACUCCGGGGAUAACAGGCUGAUACCGCCCAAGAGUUCAUAUCGACGGCGGUGUUUGGCACCUCGAUGUCGGCUCAUCACAUCCUGGGGCUGAAGUAGGUCCCAAGGGUAUGGCUGUUCGCCAUUUAAAGUGGUACGCGAGCUGGGUUUAGAACGUCGUGAGACAGUUCGGUCCCUAUCUGCCGUGGGCGCUGGAGAAUUGAGGGGGGCUGCUCCUAGUACGAGAGGACCGGAGUGGACGCAUCACUGGUGUUCGGGUUGUCAUGCCAAUGGCACUGCCCGGUAGCUAAAUGCGGAAGAGAUAAGUGCUGAAAGCAUCUAAGCACGAAACUUGCCCCGAGAUGAGUUCUCCCUGAGACUAUAAGUCUCCUGAAGGAACGUUGAAGACGACGACGUUGAUAGGCCGGGUGUGUAAGCGCAGCGAUGCGUUGAGCUAACCGGUACUAAUGAACCGUGAGGCUUAACCUUACAACGCCGAAG